GGGGCCCGGCCCGUAAAUGGCGGCGGCUCCGCGCCCGCCCCGCGUUCCGCAGGGGACACUCGGCCCGGGCUGCGGCGGGACCGGCGCUCGGAGCGCCGUGCGGAGAUCGGAUCGGGGGCUGCUCCCGGCGCUGCGCGGCGUCCGAGGCGCUCAGGGGCUACUCCCAACAGGCACGCAGGGAUGUUUCAGCCCGGACAGACGCCACCGACAGCCCAGAAGGACCCCAAGGAAUGGCUGGCAUUACCUGGGAAUGGAGGCAUGGGCUGUUUGUAGAGGGGCUGUGACAGCAAUUCCUGUUUCUGACCUCCCCGAGCUCCCACACAGCUGCCAGUGGGAAGAACGUGAGCUCACAGCCACCGAGGCCUGGCAGGUUCCUGCACUGAGAGCUCAGCGUGUGUCCACAGAGGUGAAACACAAGCAGUGGGCAGAGGUCGUGCCAUUGAUGCGGACGUGCGUGAUGCUUGCUGGGGCAGAAAAAAGAGGGGAGACAUGGGAAUCGGAAAACCAGAAACUCCCACAGACACUGAAAGAUUUGAUCUGCAGCCUCGGGAGAAGCUGGGAUUGAUUUACAAAUACAAGACACGGACAUUAAGCAGGAAAAGAAUAAAAUAACUUCUGUUUCUGUUGCUGUAAGUAAGAGCAUGCCCCGAGUGAGAGAGAGAGAAACUGUGUGGGCACGAUGGGGAAGGGUUUGCAGGGCAGGGCUGGGGCUGUGUGGAGUAAACUGAGAGUUUACAAGUUAUAACAGAAGCCAUUGAACAAAAGUACCCUCAGUGCAGCAGAACUGAGUAAAGGUGAUGGGUUAGAAAAGCAAAAUGAACCCUGAGGCAGCUGGCCCUGGGGUUAGAAAGUUCUGUCCUGCCUUGGAACAAAGAACUUGUGACUGCUCCUGAGCUACAGCCAGCUGCUUGCUCUUUAAACCCUCACAGCCUCGAGGCUGGUGUUUAUCUGAGUAGUGCUGAUCCCAGCCCAAGAGCAGUCCCAUCCCUUCGUUGCUAACAGCACAGUGA